rnacentral:rRNA from 1 species
UACGAGGGGGGCUAGCGUUGUUCGGAAUUACUGGGCGUAAAGCGCGUGUAGGCGGGGCUUUAAGUCAGGGGUGAAAUGCCAAGGCUCAACCUUGGAACUGCCUUUGAUACUGGAGACCUUGAGUCCGGGAGAGGUGAGUGGAAUUGCGAGUGUAGAGGUGAAAUUCGUAGAUAUUCGCAAGAACACCAGUGGCGAAGGCGGCUCACUGGCCCGGAACUGACGCUGAGACGCGAAAGCGUGGGGAGCAAACAGG